AAAAACGAAAGAAAAAAAAAUAAUAAAUAAAAUAUAACAGGAAAAUCUUGGACUUGGACCUCUCUCAUUUGAGCCCACAAAAAUCAGGUUAUAAAUUCUUGACUUCCAUCUCCCAAAAAACCCUGGAAAAAGAUAGUGAGAGAAGAGCUAACAGAGUUCAGAGCAGCCUCUAGAGACUGAAAGGAACUCAUCUGCAAAGAGCCAAUCCCAUCUCAUAUAAACCCUCAGAUUGCUUUGCAAACUCAACCGGGCAAUUCAAUUUCAUUCGAUCUCUCUAAUCAGGUUUACUCUAUCUCCAUUACUCUAUGCUUUCAAUUUGAAUGCUCUGAAUGUAUGAGGUAUUAUCGUUAGGUUUUGCAUGUGGGCACAUGUUUUAGUAUGUAUGUCAUGCCUUGAUGUGUGGAUCCUU
rnacentral:lncRNA from 1 species